rnacentral:ncRNA from 1 species
CAUAGAUUGAGAGCUCUUGAUUCUAUGGGUGGUGGUGCAUGGUCAUUCUUAGUUGGUGGAGCAAUUUAUCUGGUUAAUUCUGUUAACGAACGAGACCUCAACCUGUUAACUAGCUAUGUGAAGGUGAGCCUUUGUAGCCAGUUUUUUAGAGAGAUUAUGGUUAGGUCUCACUUAUCCUACACCUCUUAAGUCAUUUCACAAAAUCGGACUAGAGUUAAGUUCAACAGGAUCUUUUUGCCAC